rnacentral:snoRNA from 1 species
GGAUCGAUGAUGACACCCUCACAUGCAUUCCUUGGAAAAUCUGAACAAAAUGAGUGAGAACUCACUACCG